GCCCCUCCAGAAUGUUGGUAGCUUGGUCUUCCUGAUCUGGAAGCUCCAAUUAGAAAGAUGAAAGAAUAGAAUACUGAGUUUGAAAUCUUUUCAGAUUGUCCUUACUAAUGCUCGACUCCUCAUUUCUUGGGCCCUAGAAGUCUCCGAACCCACGCAUGGGACUGUUUGAGCUGUGGGGUUCAAACAACUGGUGUUCGAACAAGGAGCCAACUUCGAUAGUGUUGAAACCCUGGUAUCGCUCUGAUAUCAUGUUGAAGGACUGCCU
rnacentral:lncRNA from 1 species